rnacentral:lncRNA from 1 species
CAAUUUCAGAGUUCAGAGGCAUGCAUCAAUAGUUCACAUACAUUCUCCGAUGGACACACAUGUCUGUACCUGAUAUAAAUUUCAAGCACCAACAUUUAUAGUACACUGUAGAAACAUGACCUAUAUUUUAAUCCCUACUUAGGUAGUUAUCCUGAGAUUGAGAAACUUAUGGAAUAGUUGGUACAUUAAAUAUGACCGUGAUGUUGUGAAAGCUACAUUUGGGAAUGUUCAAAUGGAACGCCGCCAGCAUUACCAAAUUUAUUUAAUAAGACAUUUUAGUGAAAGAAAUCUUAGCCAUUCAGUGGCUUUCAAGGAUCGGAACAAGCUACCUUCCCAAUAUGUUCUUGAGAAGCAAUAACAGAACAAGCUUCUGGACGCAAAACUGAAGGGGAAGGUUAAACCUUUAGCCUCUCUAUCACCUAAAAUGGAAGGAAAACCAUGGUCAAGAUCAUUUCUUUUCUCCCAUCAUGCAAAAAAAGCAACUAACCACGAUAUGAUUUCACCAUGAAUAAUCGAAAUUUGGCAUGGUAGAAUGCCAUAGUAAGGAUUUCUUUUUUCCUGACCGAUAAGAAUCGGAAACGAAUUACUUACAGGCUUUCGAUUGUUUCUCCCCUGACUUCCUGGGAAAGAAGCCACCUUUGGGCUUUAGAUCGUAGAGGAGUCGCUCGCGCGAGUGCGAGAUCACGGGAUACACCGUAGGGCUUUGG